rnacentral:pre_miRNA from 1 species
GCACUGUGGGCCUGAUCCAAAGCCCAGAGAAGUCUGUGGGAAUUUUUCCAUUGACUUCAGCGAGCUUUGGAUCAUGCCCUACAAUC